AAUUCAAGAAGAAGGAAGACCAAAGUGUGGACACUUUACCCCUUCCUAGUGUAAGACCCCCUUUCGUGGACCCCCACUCUAGUCUCGGGAGUGUUAGAGCACCCAAAGAAACACGAGGACCC
rnacentral:pre_miRNA from 7 species